rnacentral:rRNA from 1 species
CUUAUCAACCAUACCACCCUGAGUACACCCGAUCUCUUCUGACCUUGGAAGCUAAGCAGGGUUGGGCCUGGUUAGAACUUGGAUAAAAGAUCACCUGGGAAUACCAGGUGCUGUAUUU